AUCUGCGAUAAGCGCCGGUAAGGUGAUAUGAACCGUUAUAACCGGCGAUACCCGAAUGGGGAAACCCAGUGUGACUCGUCACACUAUCAUUAACUGAAUCCAUAGGUUAAUGAGGCGAACCGGGGGAACUGAAACAUCUAAGUACCCCGAGGAAAAGAAAUCAACCGAGAUUCCCCCAGUAGCGGCGAGCGAACGGGGAGGAGCCCAGAGCCUGAAUCAGCAUGUGUGUUAGUGGAAGCGUCUGGAAAGGCGCGCGAUACAGGGUGACAGCCCCGUACACAAAAGCGCAUGUGCUGUGAGCUCGAUGAGUAGGGCGGGACACGUGGUAUCCUGUCUGAAUAUGGGGGGACCAUCCUCCAAGGCUAAAUACUCCUGACUGACCGAUAGUGAACCAGUACCGUGAGGGAAAGGCGAAAAGAACCCCGGCGAGGGGAGUGAAAAAGAACCUGAAACCGUGUACGUACAAGCAGUGGGAGCCCCACCACCAAAGCAUUUGCUGUACCGCGUUGACGGAGCGAAGCGACGUCAAACCGAUAAAACAGCAGUGUAAAGUGAGCCGCAGGGCGCUUUGCGCGACAGCGCAAAGGCAGGCGGUUUCGCGUAGCGAAAGCGAAUGCUUUGGGGUGG
rnacentral:rRNA from 1 species